rnacentral:rRNA from 1 species
GAUGAACGCUGGCGGCGUGCCUAAUACAUGCAAGUCGAGCGAACAGAUAAGGAGCUUGCUCCUUUGACGUUAGCGGCGGACGGGUGAGUAACACGUGGGUAACCUACCUAUAAGACUGGGAUAACUUCGGGAAACCGGAGCUAAUACCGGAUAAUAUUUCGAACCGCAUGGUUCGAUAGUGAAAGAUGGUUUUGCUAUCACUUAUAGAUGGACCCGCGCCGUAUUAGCUAGCUGGUAAGGUAACGGCUUACCAAGGCGACGAUACGUAGCCGACCUGAGAGGGUGAUCGGCCACACUGGAACUGAGACACGGUCCAGACUCCUACGGGAGGCAGCAGUAGGGAAUCUUCCGCAAUGGGCGAAAGCCUGACGGAGCAACGCCGCGUGAGUGAUGAAGGUCUUCGGAUCGUAAAACUCUGUUAUUAGGGAAGAACAUACGUGUAAGUAACUGUGCACGUCUUGACGGUACCUAAUCAGAAAGCCACGGCUAACUACGUG